UUGCAUGAGAAAUGUCAGUUUCUCAUGCUUUUGGGAAUAGGAAUACAUCCGUAAUAUACUACACUGAAAAAAGAGGUUAUCAGGACUGCCAACCUUAUAAUGUGAGGUUAAAUAGUAGUAUAUUUUUCCUACAUAA